rnacentral:rRNA from 1 species
AAAUUGAAGAGUUUGAUCAUGGCUCAGAUUGAACGCUGGCGGCAGGCCUAACACAUGCAAGUCGAACGGUAACAGGAAGCAGCUUGCUGCUUUGCUGACGAGUGGCGGACGGGUGAGUAAUGUCUGGGAAACUGCCUGAUGGAGGGGGAUAACUACUGGAAACGGUGGCUAAUACCGCAUAACGUCGCAAGACCAAAGAGGGGGACCUUCGGGCCUCUUGCCAUCAGAUGUGCCCAGAUGGGAUUAGCUAGUUGGUGAGGUAACGG